CCGGCGAUGUCCGAAUGGGGAAACCCAGUGCAAUUCGUUGCACUAUCGUUAACUGAAUACAUAGGUUAACGAGGCGAACCGGGGGAACUGAAACAUCUAAGUACCCCGAGGAAAAGAAAUCAACCGAGAUUCCCCCAGUAGCGGCGAGCGAACGGGGAGCAGCCCAGAGUCUGAAUCAGCUUGUGUGUUAGUGGAACGGUCUGGAAAGUCCGACGGUACAGGGUGAUAGUCCCGUACACCAAAAUGCACAGGCUGUGAACUCGAAGAGUAGGGCGGGACACGUGGUAUCCUGUCUGAAUAUGGGGGGACCAUCCUCCAAGGCUAAAUACUCCUGACUGACCGAUAGUGAACCAGUACCGUGAGGGAAAGGCGAAAAGAACCCCGGCGAGGGGAGUGAAAAAGAACCUGAAACCGUGUACGUACAAGCAGUGGGAGCACCUUCGGGUGUGACUGCGUACCUUUUGUAUAAUGGGUCAGCGACUUAUAUUCUGUAGCAAGGUUAACCGUAUAGGGGAGCCGCAGGGAAACCGAGUCUUAACUGGGCGUUAAGUUGCAGGGUAUAGACCCGAAACCCGGUGAUCUAGCCAUGGGCAGGUUGAAGGUUGGGUAACACUAACUGGAGGACCGAACCGACUAAUGUUGAAAAAUUAGCGGAUGACUUGUGGCUGGGGGUGAAAGGCCAAUCAAACCGGGAGAUAGCUGGUUCUCCCCGAAAGCUAUUUAGGUAGCGCCUCGUGAACUCAUCUUCGGGGGUAGAGCACUGUUUCGGCUAGGGGGUCAUCCCGACUUACCAACCCGAUGCAAACUACGAAUACCGAAGAAUGUUAUCACGGGAGACACACGGCGGGUGCUAACGUCCGUCGUGAAGAGGGAAACAACCCAGACCGCCAGCUAAGGUCCCAAAGUCAUGGUUAAGUGGGAAACGAUGUGGGAAGGCACAGACAGCCAGGAUGUUGGCUUAGAAGCAGCCAUCAUUUAAAGAAAGCGUAAUAGCUCACUGGUCGAGUCGGCCUGCGCGGAAGAUGUAACGGGGCUAAACCAUGCACCGAAGCUGCGGCAGCGACACUAUGUGUUGUUGGGUAGGGGAGCGUUCUGUAAGCCUGCGAAGGUGUGCUGUGAGGCAUGCUGGAGGUAUCAGAAGUGCGAAUGCUGACAUAAGUAACGAUAAAGCGGGUGAAAAGCCCGCUCGCCGGAAGACCAAGGGUUCCUGUCCAACGUUAAUCGGGGCAGGGUGAGUCGACCCCUAAGGCGAGGCCGAAAGGCGUAGUCGAUGGGAAACAGGUUAAUAUUCCUGUACUUGGUGUUACUGCGAAGGGGGGACGGAGAAGGCUAUGUUAGCCGGGCGACGGUUGUCCCGGUUUAAGCAUGUAGGCUGAUUAUCCAGGCAAAUCCGGAUAAUCAAGGCUGAGGUGUGAUGACGAGGCACUACGGUGCUGAAGUAACAAAUGCCCUGCUUCCAGGAAAAGCCUCUAAGCAUCAGGUAACAUCAAAUCGUACCCCAAACCGACACAGGUGGUCAGGUAGAGAAUACCAAGGCGCUUGAGAGAACUCGGGUGAAGGAACUAGGCAAAAUGGUGCCGUAACUUCGGGAGAAGGCACGCUGGUGUGUAGGUGAAGUCCCUGCGGAUGGAGCUGAGACCAGUCGAAGAUACCAGCUGGCUGCAACUGUUUAUUAAAAACACAGCACUGUGCAAACACGAAAGUGGACGUAUACGGUGUGACGCCUGCCCGGUGCCGGAAGGUUAAUUGAUGGGGUUAUCCGUAAGGAGAAGCUCUUGAUCGAAGCCCCGGUAAACGGCGGCCGUAACUAUAACGGUCCUAAGGUAGCGAAAUUCCUUGUCGGGUAAGUUCCGACCUGCACGAAUGGCGUAAUGAUGGCCAGGCUGUCUCCACCCGAGACUCAGUGAAAUUGAACUCGCUGUGAAGAUGCAGUGUACCCGCGGCAAGACGGAAAGACCCCGUGAACCUUUACUAUAGCUUGACACUGAACAUUGAGCCUUGAUGUGUAGGAUAGGUGGGAGGCUUUGAAGCGUGGACGCCAGUCUGCGUGGAGCCAACCUUGAAAUACCACCCUUUAAUGUUUGAUGUUCUAACGUUGGCCCCUGACCGGGGUUGCGGACAGUGUCUGGUGGGUAGUUUGACUGGGGCGGUCUCCUCCCAAAGCGUAACGGAGGAGCACGAAGGUUAGCUAAUCCUGGUCGGACAUCAGGAGGUUAGUGCAAUGGCAUAAGCUAGCUUGACUGCGAGCGUGACGGCGCGAGCAGGUGCGAAAGCAGGUCAUAGUGAUCCGGUGGUUCUGAAUGGAAGGGCCAUCGCUCAACGGAUAAAAGGUACUCCGGGGAUAACAGGCUGAUACCGCCCAAGAGUUCAUAUCGACGGCGGUGUUUGGCACCUCGAUGUCGGCUCAUCACAUCCUGGGGCUGAAGUAGGUCCCAAGGGUAUGGCUGUUCGCCAUUUAAAGUGGUACGCGAGCUGGGUUUAGAACGUCGUGAGACAGUUCGGUCCCUAUCUGCCGUGGGCGCUGGAGAAUUGAGGGGGGCUGCUCCUAGUACGAGAGGACCGGAGUGGACGCAUCACUGGUGUUCGGGUUGUCAUGCCAAUGGCACUGCCCGGUAGCUAAAUGCGGAAGAGAUAAGUGCUGAAAGCAUCUAAGCACGAAACUUGCCCCGAGAUGAGUUCUCCCUGAGACUUUAAGUCUCCUGAAGGAACGUCCAAGACGAUGACGUUGAUAGGCCGGGUGUGUAAGCGCAGCGAUGCGUUGAGCUAACCGGUACUAAUGAACCGUGAGGCUUAACCUU
rnacentral:rRNA from 1 species